rnacentral:rRNA from 1 species
AGUGAACGCUGGCGGUAGGCCUAACACAUGCAAGUCGAACGGCAGCACAGUAAGAGCUUGCUCUUACGGGUGGCGAGUGGCGGACGGGUGAGGAAUACAUCGGAAUCUACUUUUUCGUGGGGGAUAACGUAGGGAAACUUACGCUAAUACCGCAUACGACCUACGGGUGAAAGCAGGGGAUCUUCGGACCUUGCACGAUUGAAUGAGCCGAUGUCGGAUUAGCUAGUUGGCGGGGUAAAGGCCCACCAAGGCGACGAUCCGUAGCUGGUCUGAGAGGAUGAUCAGCCACACUGGAACUGAGACACGGUCCAGACUCCCACGGGAGGCAGCAGUGGGGAAUAUUGGACAAUGGGCGCAAGCCUGAUCCAGCCAUACCGCGUGGGUGAAGAAGGCCUUCGGGUUGUAAAGCCCUUUUGUUGGGAAAGAAAAGCAGCAGGUUAAUACCCCGCUGUUCUGACGGUACCCAAAGAAUAAGCACCGGCUAACUUCGUG